rnacentral:lncRNA from 1 species
GCCAAGUGAUGUGGCUAGUGGACCCAUUUCACUCAUGGAUGCAAGGAGAUCACGUGAUGAUAGUGAUCCUAAUGAUAUUCGUUGUAAAUUAUCUUGGAUAUUCAAUUAUGAUGAUGUAAUUGUGUGGUUGGAGUGAAUCUUAGAAUAUUGAAGGUUUUGUGUUUAAAUUUGAUUUUGGAGUUUGAAGAUACUGUUGAAAAUUUGGAGUUUGA